rnacentral:rRNA from 1 species
UGGGGAAUUUUGCGCAAUGGGCGAAAGCCUGACGCAGCAACGCCGCGUGGGUGAUGAAGGUCUUCGGAUCGUAAAACCCUGUCGUCAGGGACGAAGGUUGUAUGCCUAACAGGUGUGCAGCUUGACGGUACCUGGAGAGGAAGCCCCGGCUAACUCUGUGCCAGCAGCCGCGGUAAUACAGAGGGGGCAAGCGUUAUUCGGAAUUAUUGGGCGUAAAGGGCGCGUAGGCGGUGUCUUAAGUGAGAUGUGUAAUCCCCGAGCUUAACUUGGGAACUGCAUCUCAGACUGGGGCGCUAGAGUGCUGGAGAGGGUGGUAGAAUUCCACGUGUAGCGGUGAAAUGCGUAGAGAUGUGGAGGAAUACCAGUGGCGAAGGCGGCCACCUGGACAGUAACUGACGC